CACACCGUCCCGUCACACCAUGGGAGUUGAUUGCACCAGAAGUAGGUAGCCUAACCGCAAGGAGGGCGCUUACCACGGUGUGGUCAAUGACUGGGGUG
rnacentral:rRNA from 1 species